CAAUAGCGUAUAUUAAAGUUGUUGCGGUUAAAAAGCUCGUAGUUGGAUUUCUGCCGAGGACGACCGGUCUGCCCACUGGGUGUGUAUCUGGCUCGGCCUGGGCAUCUUCUUGGAGAACGUAUCUGCACUUGACUGUGUGGUGCGGUAUCCAGGACUUUUACUUUGAGGAAAUUAGAGUGUUUCAAGCAGGCACACGCCUUGAAUACAUUAGCAUGGAAUAAUAAGAUAGGACCUCGGUUCUAUUUUGUUGGUUUCUAGAACUGUGGUAAUGAUUAAUAGGGAUAGUUGGGGGCAUUCGUAUUUAACUGUCAGAGGUGAAAUUCUUGGAUUCGUUAAAGACGGACUACUGCGAAAGCAUUUGCCAAGGAUGUUUUCAUUGA
rnacentral:rRNA from 1 species